rnacentral:rRNA from 1 species
GACGAACGCUGGCGGCGUGCUUAACACAUGCAGGUCGAACGGAAAGGCCCUGCUUUUGUGGGGUGCUCGAGUGGCGAACGGGUGAGUAACACGUGAGUAACCUGCCCUUGACUUUGGGAUAACUUCAGGAAACUGGGGCUAAUACCGGAUAGGAGCUCCUGCUGCAUGGUGGGGGUUGGAAAGUUUCGGCGGUUGGGGAUGGACUCGCGGCUUAUCAGCUUGUUGGUGGGGUAGUGGCUUACCAAGGCUUUGACGGGUAGCCGGCCUGGGAGGGUGACCGGCCACAUGGGGACUGAGAGAGGGACCAGACGGCUACGGGAGGCAGUAGUGGGGAAUAUUGCACAAUGGGCGGAAGCCUGAGGCAGCAGCGCCGCGUGCGGGAUGACGGCCUUCGGGUGGUAAACAGCUUUCGCCUGUGACGAAGCGGGAGUGACGGUAAUGGGUAAAGAAGCACCGGCUAACUACGUG